rnacentral:rRNA from 1 species
UACAGAGGUGGCAAGCGUUGUUCGGAAUUACUGGGCGUAAAGGGCGCGUAGGCGGCCAUCUAAGUCAGACGUGAAAUCCCCCGGCUUAACCUGGGAACUGCGUCUGAUACUGGGUGACUUGAGUUCGGGAGAGGAAUGUGGAAUUCCAGGUGUAGCGGUGAAAUGCGUAGAUAUCUGGAGGAACACCGGUGGCGAAGGCGGCAUUCUGGACCGAAACUGACGCUGAGGCGCGAAAGCUAGGGGAGCAAACGGG